rnacentral:tRNA from 1 species
UCCCUGGUGAGUCAGAUGGUAAAAGCGUCUGCCUGUAAUGCAGGAGACCUGGGUUCGAUUCCUGGGUUGGGAA